rnacentral:lncRNA from 1 species
GGGAGGAAGCAACGGCCUAAAACUCAACCUAAUCCUAAAUCCCAGGCUCGUCGUAUUCGGAAGGAACCACCAGCUUACGCAGCAGGUAUGUUUUCUGUUGGAAGCUUUGGGGUAUCAAGGUCUUGCACUCUGUUUUUUUUUUUUUUGUUGUUGGUCAAGGAGUGAUGUUAUAAAGAGUUUCUUUAAGGAGGCAGUUAUUAAGGGUAUGGGUUUGGAGGCCAGUCAGACCCGCCUUUAAGUUUUGGCUCUUAACUCAUUUUCUGGUCUGCCUUCAUCUAGUUAACUUCUGCAGGCUUCAGUUACCUUGUCUCUAAAUAGGGAUAAUGAAGGUAGUCAGAAUUUUCAUGGAGACUAAAUGGGGAUAAAAACAUUUAAGAACAUCUCAGACACACAGGAAACAGGAAAUUGGCUGUUAUAUAUCUAAGUAUCCCAUUAUUAUAUGCUGCUGUGAAAAUGUUGCCCCAUUGUUGGUUAUACCUCAGUAAAGCUAGAAAAAAAAAUGUUGCCCAGUUCUUUAAGCUGCUGGGCUUUUGAAUGGUUCUCAGAUGGUUUUUGUCGUGGAGGACUGAGUAGGAGUAUCAGAAACUCCUCAUUGUCUGAAAAAAAAUUACUUCUAGAAAGAGUCUUUUCCCCAGGAAGGAAAAAAAAUGAUACUUUUACUAAAUUCCAGGAAUACGUUUUCUGUUUCUAGAGAAUUCUGCAAAUUAUGAAGUGUUUCUUUCUCUGCUUUGUAGGCAGUUUGGAGGAACAAUGGUACCUAGAAAUUGUGGAUAAAGGCAGUGUCUCCUGUCCUACCUGCCAGGCGGUGGGGAGGAAGACCAUAGAGGGCUUAAAGAAACACAUGGAGACCUGCAAACAGGUUAGAGAUUUUGUGGCGUUUCAUAAGGGUUAUGACCUUUUCCCAUACCUCAGACAACUAUCGCUGUGUCAGUGUGCUGAUUACUGUGGAGAAGCAGCAGCAUUGUGUUACAAGGAAAACAGAGGCUUUAGAGUCUGACAGACUUGGGUUUGAAUCUUCAUUUAGCCACUUACUUGUUGUGUCAUUUAGCUUUUUAUGUGUGAACCUUGGUUUUCUCAUUUAUAUUACAAAUUAUACAAAUAAUUUUAUGUAGUCCCUGAGGGGAUAAGAAAGAAUACAUGCUGAGUGCCCACCCCGUUACUCGGCAAAUGUUGGCACUCAGUAAAUGGUAAUUCUUACUCCUUUAAAAAUCAGUUACUUUUACUUCGUUACCCUUGAGGAUGUGACACUGAGGUUGUGGGGUUUUGAGAUUCUUUGGGUUUGGAAAUAAAGGAGACACAGACGAGAGCAUCCGGGUAGGACUUUGUUACAUUCUGUUUCUCUGUUGAACAACUUGACACUGAGCAGUAUUUCUUCCUGUAGGAAAUGUUUACUUGUCAUCAUUGUGGGAAACAACUUCGUUCACUGGCAGGGAUGAAGUAUCACGUGAUGGCAAAUCAUAAUAGCUUGGUAAGAGUAUCUUCUGUCCUGUAUGAGCCUGUGUGUGUUUGGAUGUCUUUACUUAGAUGAGUGCAGAUAACCCAGUGGAGGUGUCUAAGGCUCUGGGGCUUUAUAGAGGUGUGAGUAAGAAUACCUUUUUGAUAGAAGUCAUGCACAUGAAACCUUUGCGGUGGGUAUUUGUGUGUUUAGGUUAGCCCCAAAGGUUCGUCUCCUGGAAGAUAGAGGCUCUGAGCUCUUAUUUGCAUUACAUUUGCUUCCUUGUCUGUCUAGGAGAAGAGGGAGAAAGCCAGGAGUCAGAUAACUAAGCUUCAUGGGCAUCGGCUUAGGUGCUAGUCCAGUCCUUGAUUCUCCUAUGAUACAAUUUUUUUCUGUAUCUGUCUUUUCCAUGAAUCAUCUGCUUGUUUGCUUGUCUUGCUUUCUAGCCCAUUUUGAAGGCUGGAGAUGAAAUAGACGAACCAAGUGAGAGAGAACGGCUCCGAACAGUUUUAAAGAGACUGGGAAAGCUCAGGUGCAUGCGCGAGGUAAGAGCCCAGGGACAGUGUCUCCUUCUGCCUGGAGUCUUGAAUCAAUGUCUUUCUGUUAUUUUGUUCCAUUUCUUCUCUCUUGUAGACCUGGUUCUGUGUCCUCUUACAGCGUAAGAGUGGCUCCUGCUUUUCCAGCUGUUUUGAAUUCAUUAGUAGCUCUUUAUUUUCUUUCUCAUCUCCACAAACUUAUUUCCCCCUUCUUUCCCUUUGUUCAAAGGAGUUUCUUUACCAUCCUUUUUUAGUGUGAUGAAAAGGAUCUUAGUAUUCUCACUGUGAGGAGCUUUGCCAUUGCUGGGUGUAUGAUACUGGGGUGGAGUCGAGUCACAGACCAGAGAGGAAGCUCUGCCACAGGGGAGACACACGGAUCCAGUUUACUGAAUGCCAACUAAACUGAUUGACUGUCACGGUUGGUGGUGGACAGGACAGGCGUUCGGCCAGGCACAAGGGCCAAGGAAAGGUUGUGCCAACGGGAAGUGUUGGAGAGGGUCUAGUGAUACCAGAGGAUCUAUUUACGUGAGGUGGUGGUUGAAUGCUUUGUGGCUGUUGAGAAAUUGAGAAAUCAUGUCAAAAGAUGUAAGAUUAUAGUUCAGGCCUUUCUCCUGUGUUCAGAGUUGCUCUAGUAGCUUCACCAGCAUCAUGGGAUAUCUGUACCAUGUCAGAAAAUGUGGCAAAGGGGCUGCAGAGCUGGAGGAGAUGACCCUGAAAUGUCACCACUGUGGAAAGCCAUAUAAAUCGAAGGCUGGACUUGCGUAUCACCUGAGGUCAGAGCAUGGGCCUGUGAGUACUGAUUACUUUCCAGACCCUGUUUGGGGAUCUGUUUUUUGGGGACUCCUUACUCCGACAUCUUCCCAUACAUCCGCUGUUCCUUAUUUGUAUCCCCUUUUAAUCUUUGAAUACUUUUGUUUUCCUUUCCUUAUUUUUCCUUGGUUCUCUUAUUUCUGCCUUUUGAACAUAAUUAGGUUAGAGAAAUCAAAGUUCAGCGUGUAAUCUGUGCAGAAGUAAACUCAUUAUUAUACUUUUAAAGUUUAAGGCAUUCCGAUUUAGCUAGAAAUUUUGUGGAAAUUUCUGUCCGGCUGGUUCUUCCAUUCCAAUUUUUUUGUCUUGAUUUUUUUCCCCCUUGAUUACAUUUCUAGGCUUCCCCCAUCUCAUGUUUCUUUUUAGAAUUCAGUUUCAAGGUAUAAUUUACAUAUGAUAAUUAACGUUCACCCUUUUAAUUUUUUAAUUUUUAUUUUUUUUAAUGUUUAUUUUUUGAGAGCGAAGACAGUAUGGGGGGGUGGGCGGAGAGAGAGAGGGAGGCACAGAAUCCGAAGCAGGCUCCAGGCUCUGAGCUGUCAGCACAGAGCCCGAUGCGGGGCUCGAACUCACGAACUGUGAGAUCAUGACUUGAGCUGAGGUUGGACGCUUAACCGCCUGAGCCACCUAGGCGCCCCAAUAUUCACCCUUUUUAGUGUGCAGUUACGAGUUUUGACAAAUACAUAGUCAUGUAGUCACCACCACAAUCAAGAUAUAGAACGAUUUGACCACUGAUUUAUUUUCUGUCCCUAUAGUUUUGCUUUUUUCACAAUGUCCUAUAAAUGGAGUCAUACGAUAUGUAGCCUUCCUUUUGAGUCUGGCUUCUUUCACUUAGCAUAAUACAUUUGAGACUCAUCCAUGUGUUGCAUGUAUCAUUAAUUUAUUUUUUUUUAUUUCUGUCUAGGAUUCCAUUGUAUGGAUGUUUCACAGUUUCUUUAUCCAUUCAUCAGUUGAAGAACAUUUGGGUUGUUCCCAUAUUUUGGCAAUUAUGAAUAAAGUUACUAUAAACAUUCACAUAAAAGGCUUUUGUGUGAAAAUAAAUUUUAAUUUCUCUUGGGUAAAUACUUAGGAAUGGGAUAGCUAGGUCAUAUGAUAAAUGUGUGUUUACCUUUAUGAGAAACUGCCAAACUCUUUUUCAGAGUGGCUGUACCAUUUUGCAUUCUCACUAGUAAAAUAUGACAAUUCCAGUUGCUUUGUAUCCUUGUUAGGAUUUGCUAUUGUUAAUUUCAUUUUUUUCUUAGUCCAUUCUACUAGGUAUGCAGUGGUAUUUCACUGAAGUUUAAAUUUGCAUCUCCCUAGUGACUAAUGACAUUGACCAUCUUUUCAUUUGUUUAUUGGCAAUGUCAGUUGUUAGUGAAGUAUCUUCUUUUUUGAAGUGGCCAUUGAAAUCCUUUAUUAUUGGAGUUUUGUUGUCUUACUAGGAAGUUUUGAGAAUAUUCUGAGUUUUUUAUAUAUUUUGGACAGAAGCCCUUCAUUAGAUACAUGUUUUGCAAAUAUUUUCUCCCAGUCUAUAGUUUGUCUUUUCAUCUAUUUACAGUGUUCUAAAUUUUUUUAUAAGUUUAUUUAUCUUGAGAGGGAGAGAGAGCACCCAAGCAAGGGAGGGGGAGAGGGAGAGAGAGAAGCCCAAGCAGGCUCUGCUUAGUGUGGAGCUUGAUGUGGGGCUUGAUCUCACAGCUGUGAGAUCAUGACCUGAGCUGAUAUCAAGAGUCAGAUAGAUGCUCAACCAACUGAGACACCCAGGCACCCCUAUAGUGUUUUUCAAAGAGCAUAGUUCUUAAGUUCGAUUUAUCAUUUUUUCCUUUUAUGGGUAAUGCUUUUUUUGUUGUUGUUUCUAAUAUCUCUUUGCCCAACCCAGUUUUCUUUUCUUUUCUUUUCUUUUAAAUGUUUUUAUUUAUUUUUGAGAGAGACAGAGUGUGAGUGGUGGAGGGGCAGAGAGAGAGAGAGAGAGGGAGACACAGAAUCUGAAACAAGCUCCAGGCUCUGAGCUGUCAGCACAGGGCCAGAUACGGGGCUUGAACUCAUGAACUGUGAGAUCAUGAACUGAGCCACCCAGGCACCCCCCAACCCAAUUUUCUAUUGCUGCUAUAAAAAAUCACAAGGGGGCCUGGGUGGCUCAGUCGGUUGAAUGUCUGACUUUGGCUCAGGUCAUGAUCUCACAGUUCUUGGGUUCCAGCCCUGCAUCUGAGCUGUCAGCACAGAGCCUGGAGGCUGCUUCUGAUUCUGUGUCUUCCUCUCUCUCUGCCCCUUCCCCACUCACACUCUUGUCUCUCUCUCAGAAAAUAAAACAUUUAAAAAAAAUCACCACAGAAUUAAUGGCCUAAAUAACACAACUGUAUUGUUUCAGUGUGUUAGGCCCGAAGUCCAGGGAUAGCACAGCUCAGCUGGCUCCCCUGUGUAGGACCUCACCAGGCUGGCAUCAAAAUGUCAGUAGGACUGUUCCUUUUUGGAGGCUCAAGGGGAGAAUCUGUUUUGAGGCUCGUUAAAAUUAAGACUUGAGUUCCAUGCAGUUAGUUGUAGGACCUCAUUUCCUUGCUUGCUGUAGGCCGAGAGUUGUUCUCUGGUUAUGAAGGCCAUCUAUGUUCCGUGGCUUGUGGUCCCUUCCUCUUCAAGUCAGCAGCAGUAUCAAGUCUCUCUCACACUCUGAAUCUCUCCUGCCUUUUCUUCUGUCGCACCUCUCUUACUUAAAAUCAACUGAUUCUGGACUUUAAUUAGAUCUACAAAGUACCUUCACAGCAGCACAUAGAUUAGCGUUUAAUUGAAUAACUGAUGACUGUAGCCUAGCCAGGGUGACACAUCAAAAAACCAUUACACCCAGGAUUACAAAAAUGUCCUCCCUUUGUUUCUUCUAGAAGUUUUAUAGUUACGUGGUUUACAUUUCAUUUUGAGUUAAUUUUUAUAUGUAGUAUGAGAUAGGAAUGGGUUGAGGUUCAUGUCUUUGCACAUGGCUAUGUCUUGACCUUUACUUAUUAAAAUAGAAUAGACUUCACCCUAAGAAAUUUUUUAUAUUAGUAAAAUACGCAUGAAGGUGGUAGAGCUUUAUGCUAGUGGUUAGCAAGCCAGUGAAGAGCUUUUGAUACUUAGAGCAGGAAGGAUAGCCCUUAAUCAUUGGCUUUGAUGGAAGCCACUUCUCAGGCCUGUGUUUUGCUAUGUCUCAUUCUUGCAGAUCUCAUUCUUUCCAGAGUCAGGACAGCCAGAGUGCUUAAAGGAGAUGAGCCUGGAGCCAAAGAGUGGGGGUCGAGUUCAGAGGCGUUCUGCCAAGAUAGCUGUGUACCACCUGCAGGAGCUGGCUUCUGCUGAACUGGCCAAGGAAUGGCCUAAGAGGAAGGUGCUUCAGGAUUUGGUGCCUGAUGAUCGGAAGGUAAAGUAGAAAUUUGCGUUAAUUUUGAACCAUGUCUGAUGUUGUGCUUAGUACAUACGGAAAAGUAAAUGCACUUGAGUACGUGAUAAACAGUAUGUUGCUUCUUUUUUUUUUAAAUUAAUUAAUUAAUUAAUUUUAUUUUUUUUAAAAUAUAUGAAAUUUAUUGUCAAAUUGGUUUCCAUACAACACCCAGUGCAUCCCAAAAGAUGCCCUCUUCAAUACCCAUCACCCACCCUCCCCUCCCUCCCACCCCCCAUUAGCCCUCAGUUUGUUCUCAGUUUUUAAGAGUCUCUUAUGCUUUGGCUCUCUCCCACUCUACCCUCUCUUUUUUUUUUUUUCCUUCCCCUCUGCAUGGGUUCCUGUUAAGUUUCUCAGGAUCCACAUAAGAGUGAACACAUAUGGUAUCUGUCUUUCUCUGUAUGGCUUAUUUCACUUAGCAUCACACUCUCCAGUUCCGUCCACCUUGCUACAAAGGGCCAUAUGUCAUUCUUUCUCAUUGCCACAUAGUACUCCAUUGUGUAUAUAAACUACAAUUUCUUCAUCAGUAUGUUGUUUCUUAAUCCUUAGAGAUGGAGUAUGUCUGAUCCAGCUUCAGUGUUUGGAUUCAUAUGGGUCCUAGAGAGACCGUCUGUUUCAGAAAUUCCUUAAGGAACCCUCUUAAUUUUGAACUGCUUCUGGAGGGAAUCCGAAUUCCCAGAUUAGUCUUUUUUAUUAGUCUUUGUUUCCACUUUGUUAGUUUUUUGUUAGUCUUUUGUUAGUCUCUGUUUCCACUUUGUUAAUUUGUAUGUAGUAGUUUAUAUUUAGUUUAGAUAAAUGAUUUCAGUUUGUUUUUCUAGCAACAGAACUCCUCUCCCCACCCACUCUUUUUUUCCAAAUGAAAAUUAUAUAAAACACCAAUAUGUAGAAUAACUUAAAAUAGAGUCGCUGGGGUGCCUAGGUGGCUCAGCUGGGUAAGUGUCCAACUUCAGCCAAGGUCAUGAUCUUAUAGUUUGUGAGUUUGAGUCCCAUGUUGGGCUAUCUGCUGAUAGCUCAGAGCUUGGAGCUGCUUCGGAUUCUGUGUCUCAUUCUCUCUCUGCCCCUCCCCUGCUCAUGCUCUGUCUCUCUCUCUCUCUCUCUCUCAAAAAUAAAUAUUAAAAAAAAAAUUAAAAAUGGAGUUUCUCUAUGUAACUAGGGGUAGUGAGCCCAAAACUUUGCUUACUUGGCCUUCUCCUUGAUACUUUUAUCAUUCCUUCCAUGGCCCCAAGUGUACUUCUCAGGGUUACAGAAUCUAGCUUAGAAGCCUUUGGUUUAAAAUAGAUCAUAGACCAAAGGAACAUAUUUGGCCAAGAGGAGAUAAGGAGUAUAUGACUAUGGGGUAGUCAUGGGAAGGGCUUGGGAGGAUAUACGAGUAAAGAUUAAGGUUAGAGCUGAGGACCUGUUACUCUCCAUGGUAUCAAGAAAGAUAGUUUAGAUUUGGCCUAGGGCUUUGACUCAUGAGGGGAAUGUCAUAUAUUAUAAGAAAAUGUCAAUUCGUGGAAGUGGAUACCUUUUAUUUGGUCUAAAAAUCAGUCCUACUGGUGUCCAAGGAGUUGGAUCCUGUUCUUGAGUAUCAGAGCAUCCUUUUUUGUUUCAGACUCAUUGCUACCUUUUUCCUGCCACAGGCUAAAGUAUGUGGUUAUCUAAAUUCAGUUUAAAUGUGAAUUUUGUACAGUGGUAUGUAUCUUAUGAUAUUGUAGUCCGUUUGCUUUCACUGUGUUGAUCGGUGGUAGGGAAUUAGACAUAAAUAUUUGUUAACUGAUUGAUAAGGUUUGCUAGUCUUAUCUAGCAGAUACUCUCCUAAAAUCAUCAGUUUUAUAGUUUGACAUUGUGUAGGUUAAAGGCAUUAUUAUUUUGUUUUGUUUUAAACUAAAAAUUUAAUUGGAAUAGAUAAUAUAUUCUUGUUCAGAAGUCAAAAUGAUAAUAAACAUUGAGAUACCUCAGUCUCACCCCAUCCUUGUUCUAGCCUGUAUCCAUGGUAACCAUUCUUACUGGUUUCUUGUGUGUCCUUCCAGUGUUUUUUAAUGCAAAUACAAGCAAUAUGGUCUAGGAAAAACUCUUGUGUUUUCUUUUACUCACAUACUACUACACACUUAACACUUCUGACACCAGAUGUGUGGUUUUUUCCCACACAGACUAAUUUUCUAACACCACCUGCGUGUCCUACAAUUUAAUUCAGUCCUGACACUAUCUACCUGGAGUUAGUGUCAGGUCCACAAGUUAAGGGCUCAGUCUCACAGGACUGUUCCAAUUUCAGGUGCCAGUCACAAGUCCCAGGUUGUCAUCUGUACUUCUGACUGACUGGGCUAAAAAUUGGGGUUCCCAUGCUCCCCUCCUUGGUUUCAGUAAUUUGCUAGCAUGGCUCACAGAACUCAGGGCAACGUGUUUACUGGUUUGUUAUAAAGGAUAUAAUAAAAUCUGCAGAUGAACAACCAGAUGAAGAAAUACAGAGUGAGGUCUAGAAGAGUCCCCAGCAUAGGAGCUCCUAUCCCUGUGGAGUUGGAGGUGUAUCACCCUCUUGGCGCAUAUAUAUACUCUCUGAACCCCAUAAUUUUGGGAUUUUUAUAGAGGCUUCAUCACAUAGGCAUGAUUGAUUAACUAUCCCUAGCCCCUUUCCCUCUCUAGAGAAUGGGGAAUGUGUCUGAAAGUUCAAAGCUUCUAAUCAAGGCUUGGUUUUGCCAGUGGCUAGCCCACCGAGGAGCCCACAGAGUAUUACCUCAUCAAAACAAAAGAUACUCCUAUCACCCAGGAAAUUCCAAGGGAUUUAUGAACUCUGUCCAAAUACUGGUAUUACUCAGAAAAUUAGUAGGUGUUUUAGGAACUCUCUAUCAGGAACCAGGUUCAGAGACUGAGUAUUAGCAGGAACUGAGGGCAGAGACCAAUAAAUAUUUUUUCUUGUUUCACAAAUAUAUAUUCCUUUCUUUUAAAUGUUUCCAUUUAUUUUGAAAGAGAGAGCACAUAAGCUGGGCAAGGGCAGAGAGAGGGAGAGACAGAAUCCAACACAGGGCUCGAACUCACAAACCGUGAGACCAUGACCUGAGCUGAAAUCAAGAGUCAGAAGCUUAACUGACUGAGCCACCGAGACACCCCUAUAUUCCUUUUUCAAAAAUCUUUUUAUUUGGAAAUAAUUUUAGACUUACCGAGUCUUUGCAAAAUUAGUACAGAGUUCCCAUAUGCUCUUUACCUGGCUUCCCCUAAUGCCAACAUCUUACAUAACCAAUAACAUAGGAUCCCAUCAAGAUCUCACAUUUAAUUCUCUUUACUGUGUCUCCUUAGUCUCCUCCCAUCUGUUAUCAUCCUUCUGGCUUUAUUGAUCUUUUGUGCUCUUGACACUUUUUUUUUUUUUAAUUUUUUUUUCAACGUUUAUUUAUUUUUGGGACAGAGAGAGACAGAGCAUGAAUGGGGGAGGGGCAGAGAGAGAGGGAGACACAGAAUCGGAAACAGGCUCCAGGCUCUGAGCCAUCAGCCCAGAGCCCGACGCGGGGCUCGAACUCACGGACCGUGAGAUCGUGACCUGGCUGAAGUCGGACGCUUAACCGACUGCGCCACCCAGGCGCCCCUGACACUUUUGAAGAGAACAGGCUCGUUGUUUUGUAGAAUAUCCCUAAUAUGGAUUUGUCUAGUGUUUGCUCAAGAUUAGAUUGAAAGUUACAUGUUUUUGUCAAGAUUACCACUGAAGCAGUGUUUGCCUUUCUCAAUGUACCAUAUUAGGAGGUAUAUGAUGUUGAUGUGUCUUUUUUACCAGUGAUCACUUUGAUCACUUGAUUAGGGUGUAUUGUCCAGUUUUCUCCAAGGCAAAAUUACAGUUUUCCUCUCUGUAAUUAGUGAACAUUUUGUGGGGAUAGUGACACUGUGCAACUACCCUGUGUCUUAUCAUACCUCUGCCCACUUGCUGUAGCAUCUGUCAGUGAUUCAUUCUUGCCUGCAACAGUUAUUAUUAUGGUUGUUUGCCUAAUGAUGGUUUGUGUUUCCAUUACUUCUUCCAUAAAUUAUUAAUUGAAAUUCUGUGAGAAAAUACGUCCUUUUUUUCUCUUAAUCUAUUUAUAUCAGUAUGGACUCAUGGAUAUUUUAUUGUAGGUGUAUAAUCCAGUGCUAUUAUUAAUAUUCAUUUUUUGGCUCAAAUUGUUCCAGAUUUGGCCAUCAAGAGCUCUUUGCAGUGGGCACCUGUGCCUUUUUGACAUACUUCUAUCAUUUUUUUGAGUACUCUUUGACAACAUAAGGUGCUGUAGAGUCAUCUUGUGUAUUCCCUUCCCCCGCCCUGGAAUCAACCAUUUCUCUAAAGAAUGCUGGUUUCUUUUAUUGGAGAAUAUACUUAAAAAACAAGAUUUGAGGGGCGCCUGGGUGGCGCAGUCGGUUAAGCGUCCGACUUCAGCCAGGUCACGAUCUCGCGGUCCGUGAGUUCGAGCCCCGCGUCGGGCUCUGGGCUGAUGGCUCAGAGCCUGGAGCCUGUUUCUGAUUCUGUGUCUCCCUCUCUCUCUGCCCCUCCCCCGUUCAUGCUCUGUCUCUCUCUGUCCCAAAAAUAAAUAAACGUUGAAAAAAAAAAUUAAAAAAAAAAACAACAACAAGAUUUGAAUGCUGGGUGUACUCAUUCCUGCUGGGGUGUCAUUGCUUCUGGGCCCUCUUGGUGGCUAGAACUAGGAUAUAUAUGUAUGUCUACUCGUAGAUGAAAACACACACUCUGUGUUCAUUUUUAUGUCUGUCUGUAUACAUAUUUAAAGCCAUGAUACCUUCACUUCCAGUCCAACACCACAAGUUUCAUUCUUGCCUUCCUUUGUGCUUAUUUGUAACUCCUUUCUCUAACAGUAGGAAAACCUAGCUCUCACUGUUUGUAAUGUAUUUAUUUAUUUGCUUAGUCCUAGUAUAACAUAAAGUAGUUUUACAAUUAUUAAGCCAUACCCCUGUAAAAACAGGUUUAUUAGCUGCAGAAGAAUAUUUGUAUAUCGUUCUUUACAUCUUCAGCCUUACAGUAUAUAGUCAAAGUACUGUUUUAUUUUUUUUUUUAACUUACCUAUUUAUUUUGAGAGAGGGAGAGAGAGAGAGAGUGAGGGAGGGGCAGAGAGAGAGGGAGAAAGAGAAGUCCAAGCAGGCUCCACACUAACAUGAACUGUGAGAUCACGACCUGAGCCAAAGUCAGAUGCUCCACUGACUGAGCUUCCCAGGCGUCCCUCAAAGUAUUAUUUUACGGUUAUUUAGAUUGGCUUUCUCCCUCGCUCCCUUCAUUAUGCUUCUCAUUUGUAAUCCUUAGGUUCAUGUGUUACUUUUCUUUACAUUUUGAGUUCCCCUACAUCCUGUUUAAUUGAAACUAGUCAUUUCUCUUGGGGGGUAUGUGAAACAUUACCAUAGUUCUAAAAGUCAGACCCCAUACAAAAGGUCGUCUUAUAGAAGGGUCACUGCCCUCUUCCCAGCUUUCCCAUUCUGAAUACCCUUUUGUUUCCAUCCUGUCCCCACCCUGCUCCCUGCAGAGACCACCACACUCAGUUUCUGCUUUGUCCUUCCUGUAUUUUUAUGGGCUAGAUGACCAGAUACAUGCAUAUUUUCGUACAUCUUUUUCUUUCUCACAUAGAUACUCUUUUGUAAUUUGCUUUAUUUCACUUAAAAGUGUAUCCUGGAAAUCACUCCAUAUGUGUUCUUAGAGAUUAUCCUCAUUUCUUUUUUUUACAGCUGCGUAAACAUGAUAGUUUAUUAUAUGAAUAUAAUAUAAUAGUUUAUGCAAAUAUUCUCUUAUCGCUGUAAAAGGAUUUUAGAUGGACCUGUAUACCCUAGCUGCAGAAGAGAGGGGUGCUUAUAAAUAAAGCCAGCUCUGUGCUCUGAUUCCUCUUAUAGAUUUAGCGGAGUUCCUUUAGGCUGCCUUCCUUAUUUCCCCUUACCUCUGGGUUUUGGUUCUGUUUUUCUGUCUCAGAAAGAGCAUCAGCUUCUUUUCAGAUACUUCCAUUUUCCAAGCAGGAGGAUUGUUUACUCACUGGAAAUACAGCUAUUACUUGUGGUGGACUUUGUAAGAACUGUCUCUACAGGUGCUAGCUGUCUCUUUUCUGGAAACUAUAGUAGUUGUAAGAAGAGACUAACUUAGGGGCACCUGGCUGGCUCAAUUGGUGGAGCAUGUAACUCUUGAUCUUGGGGUUGUGAGUUCGAGCCCCACGUCGGGCUCUAAAUAAAUAAAUAAAUAAAUAAAUCUAAAGAAAAGAGAGAGAGAGACUAACUUGGGUCAAGCAUGUGAAGGCAAGUGUGAGGAAUAAUUUUGCUUGUGCAGUAUAAGUAAAAAUCAUGUGUUCCAUCCCCAAGUUCUCUCACAUCUUUGUUUUAGGUUGAACCUUAAUUUCUUUGAGUUUUUUUUAAAUGUUUAUUUUUGAGAGAGAAAAUAGAGAGAGACAGAACAUGAGCAGGGGAGGGGCAGAGGGAGACAGAAGGGAGACAGAAUACAAAGCAGGCUCCAGGCUCUGAUGAGCUGUCAGCACAGAGCCUGAUACGGGACUCGAACUCACAAACCACGAGAUCACGACCUGAGUCGAAGUCGGAUGCUCAAUUGACUGAGCCACCCAGGUGCCCCUGAAUUUUUUAAAUACCAAAAAUUAACAUGACACCUUUGAAGAAAAAGGAGAAAUGCAGAUAAGCAGGGAAAAAUCAUUAAAGCUACUCAAAAUUCUACCACCCAGAGAGGACUACUGUUAACAUUUUGAUGUAUAGCCUUCUAGCUUUUCCCCCAUCUACAUAUAUUUCUGUUGCAUAUGUUGUAUAUAUAUGUGUAUAUAUGUACCAUAUUUAUGAAUAUACCUAUAUUUUACAGUACAUAUUUGUAUCUUUGUCUUUUUCGUAAUGAGUAUUUUAACUGUGUAAAUGCUCUGUCACUAGCUUUUUAAAACUGUAGAUGAAGUGCUAUAUCUGAAAGUCUCUUCUCCUGCCCUCUGUUAAAAAUCAAAACUAUUCUAAGAUUAAAAAACAGACAGUUAUACUUACCAGUUUCAGAUAAAUUUGUAUUUAAAGGGUCUUACAUACUAUAAUACUUUUGGCACAUGAAAAUAUGUUUGUCAGACUCCAGAAUUACAUAACCUAAAGAGUUGGGUAUGAACCUUUUGGGGUAUUUUGGUUGGAAGUUGGAUUCCUCCAAUAAAAUAUUUCUUGUCUUGUAGUUAAAAUAUACUCGCCCUGGGCUUCCUACCUUCAGCCAGGAAGUACUACACAAAUGGAAGUCAGAUAUCAAGAAAUAUCAUCGCAUUCAGUGCCCUAACCAGGUGGUUCUUUCUCAUUCAUUUUUUCAGUAAAUGUUUAUCAAGUUUAUCAAACUUCUGUCUCAGUUACUGAUUCCUUCAUGACAAAGUUAUCUGAACCUUAGUGGCUUAAAACAUUAGUUAUUUUAUUUGUUCAGAAUUCUGUGAGUCAGUAAUUCUGUCAGGGCUCAGAGAACCUUCUCCUGCUAAACAUGGCGUCAGCUGGGAUCACUCAUGGGUUGUAUUCAGCUGCAAGCUCAGAUGGGACCUGAACGUCCAAGAUAGCUUCUGUGCAGCUAAUUGAGCUGGGAGCUUCGCUCUCCACGUGGCCUCUCUGUCCAUGAGGUUGUAGUGGGUUACCAGCAGGGUACAUGGCAACUGACUUCUUAGAGUGUUCCAAGAACAUGCAGAUGAAAGCUGUAGAUCUCUCAGGCCUAGCUUCAGAAUUUGUUCAGCAAUAUUUCCAUGGCAUUCUAUUGGUCAAAGGAAUCACAGGGUUAACCCAGAUUCAAAGGGAGGGUGAAUAGACUCCUCUUCUUACAGGGAAGAGUGGCAGAGAAUUUCCAUUAUUUCUUUAAUCCACCACAGCUGUAUAUGCAGUACUUUGGGAAGGAGGAUAUCUACCAGAAACAGGAGACAUAUUUAUACUGAAGAAGGCAGAUUAAAAAAAAAAAAAAAAAUCCAACCAUGCAAGUUUCUGUUUCUCUAAAAGUCAGAGAAAAAGUAUCAGGGAAGGGAAUAUCUUAAGCCCUUCUUUUUUUAAAAAAAUACCUUUUCAUGGUUUUCCUUUUUCCUUUUGUGGCUUGUGUCUGAAUUUUUUCUGUUUGGUUUGUAGUACAAUUUAUUGGGCUUCUUCCUCUAAAUGUAGGGUUGGUCAGUGUGAACGGCCAGAUUGCUAAGAGAAGGAUGAGGUUUGGUAUAAUCUUUACAUUAUUUCUUCUUCUCUCUUUCAGGGUUGUGAGGCUGUCUACAGUAGUGUAUCAGGCCUUAAGGCUCACCUGGGCUCUUGUACCUUGGUUUGUAACUUUCUGAAUGCUUUAUCUUAAUGUGAUCUCUCAAACAAAAGUCUGACAUGGAAGAGAAUUCAGUUUAGGCGAACAGCUAGUCACCCUGUUUACUGUUAAGUUCAGAGGCUUGUUUAGUUUUUUAUGUCCUAAAGAUUCUUUAUCUGGUAUUGGAUGGGAUGUCCUGAUAUGUCCAAGAUAUAGAAGAAGCCAACAUAGCCUUAAGUCUUAUCAAUUAAAAAAGUUGGAGGAAAAGUAUUAUUAUUAGUUUUGAGUCUAUAUCAGGGAGGUAACUUUUUCUACCUGAGUCUGUCCUGCCCUGGACCUGCCCUGUUUAUUGGGCCUUAAAAUUUCUAGAAUCAGUUUACAUGUGCUUAUCUGGAUGAUGAAGAUCCUCUAAUCCCACCUGAAUUAUAUAGCCUCUGGGGAUGGGAGGUAGAUGCUAGCCCUGGGUGUCAGGCAAACAGAUAUUCACCUCACUGCAUCUUUUCUGUGUUGACCCAGGUGCCCUCUGACUCACAGACAUGGGGACUGCUGCCACUUUUUAAUUCCAUUCAGAAAUAUCUCCUCACACAAAAUUAGCACCAUGGACACUCAGAGCUUCAGGAGGGGAGAGAAACCUCAGUUCAAAGCAGCAAGGGAGUGUAGGCAUCCAACCCAGAUCUGGCCACAAGUGCUUAGGAGUUUGUCAUCAUGAUCUUAGUUUCUGAGUCCUUAAACUAGGCAUUAUGGACAAUACACCUCUAAUUCUGGAUUUGCAAGGCACUCUUUAGAGCAGUGGAUUAUAGUGGGAAGAAUUAUACAUUGGUGCCUCUGGUGAACUUCAGGAGUUUGAUCAUGUGGGAAGAGGAACCAAGAGAAUCUGGAAGUGAAGUGACAGAAACUAGGGAAGAUAGAAAAGGGUGAUUGGUUACAUAAUAAAAGUAGGAAUACUUUAGGUUGUGUUGAGGGGGUGGGGGUAUUAUGUAUAGAACUAUAUUAGGAUAGAUUUCUAGUGGUAAUAGUCUGCCUAAAUCUGGUUUUCCCAAGUAUAUUGCUGUAUUGGAUUUUCUUCCUUCUUACCUUUGCUGAAGUAAAAUCCCCUCUUUUCAUCUCUAACAAUCCCCACACACGGCCCAGGUACGUGUUCCUGAAUUUACCAGUAAUUCCCUUUUCUUUCUCUCUUGAAAACAGGGAAACUUUGUGGCUGGAAAAUACAAGUGUCUUCUGUGUCAAAAAGAAUUUGUGUCAGAGAGUGGUGUCAAGUAUCACAUCAACUCUGUCCAUGCCGAGGUGAGGUCCCUGCUUUUCCCAUCAUGUUUUUGUAAUCCCUGGAACCCAUACAUGUGCCCCCAAGAAAGGUGGAAUUUGUGUGUUGUGUUGGGCUAGGACUGCCAAGGAAAGUAGCUUGAAAGUGGUUACUGGAGACAUUGGAGUUAAAAUACUUUGUAAAAUUAGAUGCAUAAUUAUAUUUUCUAUGAAAGCAUUUGUAGUCAGUAUAAGUCUGAGCAUCCUUGAGCUCUUCUGAUUCUUUUAAAUUCAGUUAAAUCAGGCAUGUGGGCAGUAGGCUGAGUUUACACCUUUGCAAUUCUUGUUUCCUAGCGUUCUCCAUACUUCCGUUUUCUAGUAUUCUAAUUAAUGUUGUGGAGCAACCUGUUUUUAAGGUUGUUUAAAAUACCGCAAAGAGGGGCACCUGGGUGGCUCAGUCGGUUGGGCGACCGACUUCGGCUCAGGUCAUGAUUUCACGGUCCGUGAGUUUGAGCCCCUCAUCGGGCUCUGUGCUGACAGCUCAGAGCCUGGAGCCUGUUUCAGAUUCUGUGUCUCCCUGUCUCUCUGACCCUCCCCUGUUCAUGCUCUGUCUCUCUCUAUCUCAAAAAUAAAUAAACGUAAAAAAAAAAAAAUACUGCAAAGAAACAACUAUGAAAGACAUUAAUGAGACAGCUGGAGUCAUUGGAAUACGACUCUAUUAAAUAAUCGUAAUGAGUCAAUGUUAAUGUUCCCAAAUGUGAUCACUGUAUUGUUUUGCAGGGGAAUGCCCUUGUUCUUAGGUAGAUAUAUGCUGAAAUUUUUAGGGAUGAAAUACGCCUGAAAAUAAAUUGCAAAUGGAAGAAGGAAGAAAGGAAAGAGAGGUUAACGAUGGUAAAUCUAGGUUUCAUUGAACUAUUAUAACUUUUCUGAAGGUUUGUACGUUUUGACAAUUAAAAAAUAAAUUCUGUGUAAAAGUGUUCUAAAGUUCAGGGGUGCCUGGGUGGUUCAGUUGGUUGAGUGUCCGACUUCGGCUUAGGUCAUGAUCUCGCAGUCUGUGAGUUUGGGCCCCGCGUCGGGCUCUGUGCUGACAGCUUAGAGCCUGGAGCCUGCUUCAGAUUUUGUGUCUCCCUCUCUCUCUGCCCCUCCCCUGCUCACGCUCUCUCUCUUUCUCUCUCUCUCUCUCUCUCAAAAAUAAACAUUUGAAAGAAAAAUUUCUAAAAAUGCUUUAAAGUUCAGAAAGCUGAGUCUUUUUUUUCUCUUAGGGCAAGUUUUUAGUAAUAUAGGUGAGUAGAGAAAUUGUUUCCUGUAUAAUUAAAUACCCGUAUUGCAAAAGCUAAAGGAGUAGAGUGCAUUCUCUUGGAAUAUCUGACUGCAGAAACUAUUGUUGCCUGAUAAGGAAAAAUAGCAAGCACCUUCAGCUGUUCUCUGCCCUCACAUUUAAUAGUUUUUAACAAUGUGGGCUGUAGUUAGUGUCAUCAAAUGUGGUUCUUGUUGUUUUACCAGUUUAAGCUUUGGGAGGCCCUUUCCAUGUCUGAGAUUUCUUCUGGAAUGCAGUCCUAUCUUUUUUUAUAAUAAUAGUGUACCUUUUUAUGCUUCAGGAAGUACUUAAAAGAUAAUUAUCUCGAGGUCCCUGGGUGGCUCAGUUGGUUAAGUGCCUGAUUGUUGAUUUUGGCUCAGGUCAUGAUCUCAUGGUUCCUUAGUUUGAGACCCGUGUCAGGUUCUACACUGACAGCUCAGAGCCUGAAGCCUGUUUCGGAUUGUGUGUCCUCCUCUCUCUCUCUGCCUCUUCCCCGCUUGUGUAUGUGCUCUCCCUCUGUCUCAAAAAUAAAUAAAUAAACAUUAAAAAAAAAAAAAAUUAUCUCCUGACAAAAUCUGGCCUUUAUGUAAUUAACCAGUUUUCUCCAGUUUCCUCUUAAAAAGUUGGAACCAACAAAUUUCACUCAGUUUGGGGCUUGUUCCCCAGGCAUUUGUUCAAUGAUUUGUGCCUGUGUUUAUGAAUUAUAUGUGGUGGUAAAACAUUUUUAUUCUGUUCCUCCCUUUCUGCCUCGCAUGUUCUUACACUACUUUUUUUUUAAACAGGAAUUUUCAAAUACAUGAAAACGGACAAAAUAGUGUAAUGAAUAGCAUUAACAGAUAUGAAUAGCUUUAACAGAUUGGCCAACAAGUUUAUGGCCAAUCUUGUUUUCAUUUAUAACCACACCUACUUCUCUUGUUCCUUAAAGGCUUAUUUUUUUUUUUAAGUUUAUUUAUUUUGAGAGAGAGUGUGCAUGUGCACACAAGCGGGGGAGGGGCAGGGAGAGCAAGAGGGAGAGAGAAACCCAAGCAGGCUCCAUGCUGUUAAAGCAGAGCCUGACUCUUGAUCCCACCAUCCUUGAGAUCAUGACCUGAGCCAAAAUCAAUAGUCAGGCACUUAACUGACUGUGCCACCCAGGUGCUCCUUAAAGGCUUAUUUUGAACAAAUUUCACAUACCCUGUCACUGUCACUGCUUCUUUCACUGUGUCUAAAAUAUAGGGACUUUUAAAAGUAUAUGACCGCAACCAUCAUUACACCUAAAAAAAAUUAACAAUGAUUCUUGCAUAUCAUUAUAUACCUAGUUAUUAUUUAAAUUAUUUAAAUUUCCCUGAUUGCCUCAUAAUUUUUUUCAGAGUUGGCUUGUUCAAAUCAGGAGCAAAAAAAAAAAAAAAAAGGUCCAUAUACUGUAUGUUUUAAUCUAGAGUGCUAUCCAAUAGAAAUGUAAUGUGAGUCAUGUAUGUAAUUUAAAAUUUUCUAGUAACCACAUUUCAAAAGUAUAAAGAAAAACAGGUGAUAUUAAUGUUGAUAAUAUAUUUUAUUUAAUCCAGUAUACUAUCUUUUGAACACGUAGUCAGUAAAAAAUUAUUGAGAUACUUUAUAUUUUUUCAUACUAAAUCUUUGAAAUUUCAUGUCUAUUUGUUAUAUAUUGAAAGCGUAACAGGACGCCUGAGUGGCUCAGUCGGUUGAGCGUCCGACUUCAGCUCGGGUCACGAUCUCAUAGUCUGUGGGUUCGAGCCCCGCGUCGGGCUCUGUGCUGACGGCUCAGAGCCUGGAGCCUGCUUCCGAUUCUGUGUCUCCCUCUCUCUGCCCCUUCCCCACUCAUGCUCUGUCUCUCUCUGUCUCAAAAAUAAAAAUAAAAACAUUAAAAAAAAAAUUUAGAAAGCGCAUCUCAUUUUGGAUUAGUCAUUUUUCAAGAGCUCAUUAGCCACAUGUGGCUAGUGACUAUCUCAUUGGACAAUGCAGGUCUAGAAGUUUCCCUUUCCUCUCCCCCCACCCCAAAUUUAUUUGUUGAGGAAACAAGGUCAUAUAUGCACAUUUUGGAUUUUGUUGAUUACAUUCCUGUGGUGGUGGUCCUCUAGCAGAGUAUUUCCUAUAAACUGGUUUUUAGACCUAGAAGACUGAUCAGAUCACUUGAUUUAUUUAUUUUUUUUUAAUUUUUUUUUUCAACGUUUUUUAUUUAUUUUUGGGACAGAGAGAGACAGAGCAUGAACGGGGGAGGGGCAGAGAGAGAGGGAGACACAGAAUUGGAAACAGGCUCCAGGCUCUGAGCCAUCAGCCCAGAGCCCGAUGCGGGGCUCGAACCCACGGACCGCGAGAUCGUGACCUGGCUGAAGUCGGACGCUUAACCGACUGUGCCACCCAGGCGCCCCCAGAUCACUUGAUUUAGAUUGAAGUCUUUCUUUCUUUCUUUCUUUCUUUCUUUCUUUCUUCCUUUCUUUCUUUCUUUUUUCCUUUCUUUCUUUUUUUCUGCAAGAAUAUUUCAUAGUUGGAGUCCAUGUUCCUUAACUCUUAAUUUUUUAAACUGAGUCUUAGAGAAAUUAAGUAAUUUCCCCAUGGUCACAGAGACAGAAACAGAGUUGAGAUUUGCACCCAGGUGGUCUGGCUGCAUGCAAAUACUAUCAUGAAAUAAAAAUCUCCUAUGACCCAAUGCUUUAUAUCUCAUGAGAGUUUUACAAAGGAGAUAGAUGAGUGGGAUGAUGCUAAGUGAUCAGACUUCGUGGAUCACUUAUUGAAGUACCCUAAAUCAUGUCUUACACAAUAAAUGCUUAUAAUGACUGCUCAUGAUGAAUUUCUUCAGUUUCAAGUACAGAGUUCUAAGCUAUGGUUCCCUAUCUGUUUCCUCCUUACUGUGUUCUGCCCUAACCGUGCCUUUUAGAGAUUCUUCCCACACCCAUUCUUUAUGUUCUCUACUGUGUAUUGAUUGACUGGAUGAUUUUUCCAUUUUGCCUCUGUAGGACUGGUUCGUUGUAAACCCAACCACAACCAAAAGCUUUGAAAAGCUCAUGAAGAUAAAGCAGCGGCAGCAAGAAGAAGAAAAGCGGAGGCAGCAGCACAGGAGCAGAAGGUCUCUGCGAAGGCUGCAGCAGCCUGGCAUCGAGCUUCCUGAGGCAGAGCUGAGUCUUAGAGUAGGGAAGGAUCAGAGGAGGAGUAACGAGGAAUUGCUAGUGUCGACCUCCUGUAAGGAACCGGAGCAGGAGCCAGUGCCAGCACAAUUCCAGAAAGUAAAGGCCCCAAAGACUAAUCAUAAACGAGGAAGGAAAUAGGCAGGCAGUGUGAAAGCUCCUAGGAAAGCGGACAUGAUGCCAUUGUCACGGGGGCCUGUGCUGGGAGGACUGAGUCACGGGGGCUGAGUGAGGAGAAAUGCACUGUCUCAGCUGUUUGUGUAAGGCUGUGACUUUCUCAGCUCCUUCCUCCUGUGUAAAUUUCACUGUUCUCCCUAUUUAUUCACUUUGACCCCCACCCCCACCCUCACCCCCUUUUUGGUAGGUUUUCCUGAUAUUCCUCAUUGGAGUCCUCUUGUUUUUCUCUUAUCUUGCCCAAAGAGCUCCCUCUUAAGGCCAACUGUGGGCCCCUCUUGCCCUGUACAAAACUGAGAAACCUGUUUGGUUGUCCUGUUCCUUCCUGGGCUAUAGAAUGUUCUUGGAAGCUCCAUUGAUUAGUAGUCAUUCCAUCAUCUUGCUUAUAAAACAAUUCCAAAUUAAUUUUUUAAAACCAUACUGAUUUACCAUUUUGUAUUUGUGAUUUAACAAUCCUAGAAGCUAGAACUGUUGUCACUCAUGUAAAAAGCUUAUCCUGUCUCCUUGGGAAGCAGAUUUUAUGGAGGCUGUUUGUUCUCUCAAUAUGUAAGAAAAUGGAUGUAGGAUGAAAAAGCUAGAACCUCGCUACACUGGUUUUACUGGGAAAUGUUUUGUUUAUCCCAAGUAGCAGUGACUGACUAGACCCACAGGCAUGAAAAGCAGCCCAAACAUUAAAAUGUCGCAAACAUUAAAAUGAUUGGAAAGAAGGAAGUAGAAGAAGCAAUAAAUACUGCCUCAUCUUUCCUGGGGCUUGAGGCCUCAUUGGUUGCUAUGAUCAGUGCCCUCCUAAAGCUUGUUUUCUCCCCCAGUUUUAUGGAUUGAGAAAUACCACAUUGCACUUGAUGUUUUGACACAGAAUCCUAGUGUUCCUGGUAAUGCCACUAAGACUGGCAGCCAAGGUGCACAUUCCUUCUCCCCCGGACUUGACCUUACCUGUUAGUCUAUGCCGUGCUAAGUCUAUUCCUCCCUUUAGCCAACCUCUGUCUCUUGGAAUUCUCUGAGAAUAUUGUCCUCUAUCCUCUUUUAUAUGUGGAGUUCUAUCCUCUUUAUAUCUUGAGACUUUGUCACCAGAUGUAGAUAUUUAUCUGGAGUUGGAAAGAAAAAUUCCUUUUCUGUACCUCAUGCCUACCUGCUAAUGUCUAGUGGGCUACUUCUCUUCAAGGCUGGCUUUCUCUGGAACAUUGUUUAGACCAGCUCUGUUGUUGUGUUUCCACAUUCUCUUCCCCUUUUCCAUAAAUAUUGGUCUUAUAUAUUCUUGCCAAUUUUUGUGGCAUAUGCCACAUAAAAAGCAAGGACCCUUAACCCUGAUAUGGAUAAACACUACCUUUUCAAAUUCUGAAAGGCUGUUACUACUCUUUAACUCUGUAUUUUGUGCUGCUCCACAUAGCUUUAAAAUGUGGGCUUUUGUGAAGACCACUUUCAAACGGGAGCAUUGAAACCAGAUUUGGAGACUGCCAAAAUAGAUAGUUGUGAAACAAGUGAAGGACAUGGUAUGUCCACUCUACAUUUUCAUUGGCAGUUGCACCCUUAAAACCCUUUCAGUAGAUGAGGAUUGUCAGGGAGGAGAAAUGAAGAAGCUAUAUUAAUUUCUGGUGAGUAAGACUUGGGGAAUGUUGGGCAAUGACAAAAGAAAUAAAUGACUGUCGGUUAGAAUGAUGUUUCCAGUUCAUUGACUCCAACCUGCUAUUUGACUCCUUGCUGACAAAGUGUAUGGGGGUAAGAAAACAGCUGAACGUGGGAGUGGGUUUGAAAUAAGUUCCAAAUGUGGCGUCUUAGUAGUUCUUUAGCUCCUGAAUUCUGCUGGUUAGUGAAUAAAUUUGUUUGAGAUUAAAGUGAAUUAGUGUAGAAAACUUGUCCAGUCUCAUCCAGGACCCUCGCAGGCACUUUUAAAAUUUUUCCUUCCUGAGGCCAGGUCUCACUCAGCAGGAGUAUCCUAAUCAUACUAUUGAGUUUUUAAGUUUUUUAAACAAAAUUCAUUUGAGUAACAAAUUUGACAAUAUCAGGUAUAGCCAGGUUGUGUGGAAUGUGAACUCUCAUGCACGGUUUGGAAUUUAAAUUGGUACAAUUACUUUGGAAACAAUUUGGCAGUAUCUAGUAGAGCUGAAAAUACGCCCCUAAGGCUCAACAGUUUUACUCCUGGGUAUAUACAGAGAAAAUCCUCUUGCCCAGGUGUACCAGGAGACAUAAACAAGAAUGAUGUAGCAGAGUCUACUAACUGUCUGCCAAAAUCUGCUGUCACUUUGCAGACCCCUAGGAUUAUAGGACAAAUGGCUAAAUUAUGUUCCUGGCCCUCCAAUCCCCUGCCCCUGUAGUGAAGGGUAGCUAACUAACUUCUCUCCAGUAGAACAUGAAUGGGAGUGAUGUGUGAUACCUCCAGGGUAGAAGUUUUAAGAAAGGGCACCUCUGUGCUUUCUUUUCCCUUCAUCGGGCCAUAUGAAGAUAAUAAAAUGGCUUUAGGGGGUGGUAGAGCACAAAAUGGAAAAUGGUUGAUGCCCUGAAUCACCCCAUGAAGGACUAAUUGCUAGCCAGGAACAUCUGAGACUAUUAAAGAGAAAAAAAAAUCUGUUUUUUGAGACAUUAUACAUGCUUGGGUCGCUUUGUUAGCUUACUCUACUAUAUAAUUUGUCUAUCAUCAGAAGAGGUAAAUACAGUGGAAUACUGUAUAGCUGUGAAAUUAGGGCUUGUAUCAUGAAUACAUCUUAAAAAUGGGAAAAGCAGGUUACAGAAUACAUCAAGCGUACCAUUUAUGUGAGGUUUAAAAACAUGUAAAAAUAUUCCAUAUUGUUUAUGGAAAUGUAUAUGUUAUAUAAUAUAUAUUUAGUGUACGUUUAUAGUUUAAUAUAUAUUAAUAUAUAUGUAUAUAUAUAUGUACAUAUAUAUGUAUAUAUAGCAUGAAAACAUGCACAGAAAUGAUAAACACCAUAUUUAGGACAGUGCUUCUGGGAUUCAGAGGGACUACAGUGAAUUUGUAAGUUCUUAUUUCUUAAGGUGGAUAGUGAGUUUGUUGUAGUUUUCUAUAUCGUGUGUCUGAAAUACUUCAUUUUAUGUAUUUCUUUUGAAAGAAAAAUUUGAAAAAAUUUGAAAAAUCAUUUGAAAAAUCAGCUCUCACAAAUUAUUGCUCCUCUCCUUUUUAAAAGGGAUCACUUUAGAAAUUUUACUUGUGCUUCAUUCUUUUUUAAAAUGUUUAUUUAUUUGAGAGAGAGGAAGCACAAGUGUGUGGGGGAGGGGCAGAGAGAGAGGGAGAGAGAGAAUCCCAACCAGGCUCCAGCACAGAUACCAGACUGUGAGUUCAUGACCUGAGCCGAAAUCAGGAGUCAGAUGCUUAACCGACUGAGCCACCCAGGCGCCCCAUUUGUGCCUCAUUCUUAACCUUUCAUUUUCCUCUCCCCUGUGGUCUGCUCUUACCCCUGUCUCCUGUUCACUUUCUAUUUCAACCACCCCAGUUCAAACCAUCAUCACCUCUUGCCUAGACGACAAUAGCUUCCUAAUUGUUUCCUGCUGAUUUUUACUGGCUUGGCUACACUUCCCAGAACAGCUGUAGUGAGUUUUUAAAAUUGUCAAUCAGACCUCAUUCAAGGGCUAAAAGCCUGAUAAUUUCCCAGUGCUCUUAGAAUUCAAGCCACUCCCUUUCCUUGUCCCACAGGGCCUGCCACUCCCACUGCUAACCCGUUUAGCUUCCUCUCCCUCCCCUCCACCUAAAUUCUCUGAUCAUUCCCCAGCUACACCUGAGCCACAUUGACCUUUCUCUUCCUGGAGCCUGCUAAGCUCAUUCCCAUUUUAGGGCCUUUGCACUCACUGUUCCGUUGCCUGAAAUGGCUUCUUCCCUGGUUUUUGUCCAGUAGACUUCACUGAAUCAUUUAGGUCUUAACCUAAAUUUCCCCUUGGGGGGUCUUUCUAUCUAAGUGCACUUUCUGUAACAUCACCCUGUUUUAAUUUUCUUCAUAGCAAAGCAGACAAAAAGACUGACAUGGUACCUGGCCAAGCUAUGCUCACUUGCAGGUAUGGAUUUCAAAAUAUCUUUAUCAGAUGAUUCACCCUCGAAAGUCUUCAAGCCCUUAAGAGAGGCCUCACUCUGAAAGGGACAGCCAUAAAGCAAUACACCAGAUCCGUUAUCUGGGAUGAUAGGAAUUAAAAAUAAACAUAGGAGAUGGAAGUUAUCCACUUCCCAAUUUGAUCAUCGGAACAGUAAAGGCAGGAGGGAAAUUAACAGCAGAGUAAGAUUCUAGAUCACUCCUACUUUCCCAACCCCUUUUCAGCCUUAGUAUAUAUUUUUCUGUGGUUUUUUGCAUCCACAGAGAAUAGGGCUUCAAAUUUGUCUUGGUUACCAUGUUUUUCAAGUUGAGUCUUUAUGUAUUUUCAGCUCAAGAACUGAAGUAUUCAAGUUAAGGAACCUGCAUACUAUCUAAAAUAUUACUCUUCUGCGUUGAAAUUGUGGUUUUGUUAUGUGCAUAUUUGUAAGAAUAAGACUUGCAGAAGUAGUAGUAAGAGAGAGGAGUGAUGGAGUAGAAAAUACAUUACAUUGGAAAAAUAAAAAAAUCAACAGAUAUAUUAAUAUACAUUUUAUUUUUAAUAACAAUACACAUUUAACAAAAUUGUUAAAGCUAGAGGUAAAAGGCAUUGAGGGAGAAAAAAAUUUUUAAGCCAAUUUUAAGUUCAUUUUACAUAGGAAUAAAACAAAAUUCAUGAAAAUUAUUUUGUAGUUUCUUAUCACUGACAAUUUCUAGAAAACAUAAGGUUGGAUUAUAUUUCCCCAUAGAGGAGUGAUGUUAAAAUAUGGGGUUAUAUCCCUGUACUAGGAUUUAGCAUUCAAAUAGUCUAAUCAUCAAUAUGUCAUAAGUGUAAAAAAUGUUUAUUUUAUAUUUUUUAGUGCAAAAAAAUUUCAAAAACUAAACGUCUGUACUAAUUAAAAAUCUUGUUUCCAGUUCUAAAUAGACAUAAAUACAAGGCACAUAUUAAUUACAAAAGGCAUUUCAUGUACUAUCAAGUGCACACAGAAUAAGAAAAUGUAAUAAGUGACCUAAAACUGAAGUACCUAUUAUAGUUAAUUAAGUGAUCUUGUUAUCUUAGAAUUUAGAAUGUUAGGGAAAUAUAAGACUCUUUAAAAAAGUCUUCCAAAUAUUCUAACACUUUUCUUGAUAUCUUUUCCUAAAACAAGCAGAGGCAUUCAGUCACCUCAUUAAUGCCAGAAGUGUUUCUUCACAGAAAAGACUGUCAAAAGUAGUUGACCGAAUAUACAUCCCUUUUGCUCUUCCCUUCUCAAUUUACCCAGUUGAGGGGCAGAGCAUCAGACAAAAGGUCGUUCUGCCCAGUGCUUUUUUUUCUUCCUAGCUCUUCUCCGACUUGCAGUUUACUUUUUCACUCUUGACAAAACUGGGGGAAGUGCUUGGCCACUGCUUGUGAACUUGAAAAAGCUUAAAAAACACUUUGCCUUUGUGUGGAGCUGGUCAAGAGGCAUGAGGAUAAUUGGUUGUUUAAAGAGCAGAAGGCACUAUAUAAAGUCAAUCUGAAAUGCUAUUCUUAAAAGGUGUUUUUUAUAUAAAGAAAUCUAAUUUAGCUAGAUGAAGUCACACAACCCUUUUCCUUUCAUUUCCUCAAGGUGGUUUCCUUGAGCUAGUUUGAAGUACAGGUGUUUAGGGAAUGGUAUCAGGUUAUCUGGAGAUUUGAGGAACAUCCUGUUCAUCAACAAGAUUAAUUAAAGGAAAAUCUAAUUAAGGGAUGCCAGUCACACAAAUACCUAGCAGUAUUACUGGAAGAAAAAUCUUUGUUUCACACCUAAUCUUUCACACUAACACAUCAUGAUGGAUGUUUUACCAUAGCAGUCAGAUCCCAAAGCCUUCCUAACCAGGUCUAUAUAGCACGUGAGAAUUCUUACUCCAGUCCUUAUAUAAUCAGUGUUGUUUUGGGAAUUGCUUUGGAUUAAUAUUUGAUUUGGUGAUUAGGAGAGGUGUUAUUGUGGUCUUUGGAGCACCCUGUCCUGGGCACGGGUUAUGCCUUCCCUGUAGUCGGUUCCUCCCCCGGACUAAGCAGUCCAUAUACCACUGUUCCUGCUGGAGCUGCCGCUUUUGAUUUUUGAGCCAGCUCCUAAUAGCCUCCAACUCCUGGCAAUGCUGAGUUUGCUGCUGUAAUUCCUUCUUUAACCACUCGUUCUCUCUCCUCAUGUCAUGGUAGAACUCAAAAGUAUACUGCUUUGCUCCUGCCUCCAAGGCCUGGGCCUUCCUUUCAAGCUCUUCUCUUUUUCUUUUUCCCAACUGCCUCGGGUCUGGCUCACUCAGUUGUUUUUCCAGUAAUGCUUUUUCCUGGACCAUCUGGAGCUGGACUUCCAAUUUCUUUGCGUCGAUCUCAGCUUGGGCUUCCUUUUUCUUCUCCUGUAACAUCUGUAUUUCUCUCUCCUGUUUCUCCUUUACUAGGGAAACAUCCCUCAGUGCCUGCAACUGCUGCUUUAAAUUGGAUUGGAGGUUUUCCUUCUGCAAGAGCUCCCCUUUAAACACUGAGGUUUGUUUUGCAUAUCUGGAGGCUGAUUCUUGUCUCCUUUGUUCAAUCUCCUCACUUUUUUGUAAAUAAUGUUCCCAUAGCUCUUCAGGCUUCCUUCUGUACUCCUCAAUUUCCUUGUCUAGGUAUUCCAGAAAGAAUUGGUUUUCAGUCUGGACAAGUAACUUUUCAUUGUAUAGCUGCUCGGUUUCCUGCAUUACUGAUUCUUGCUGCAUUCGAGUUUGUUUUAUUCGGCUGUUCACCUUCCUCAGCUCCGUCAUGGUCUUUUCUUUAAAGGUCGUCUCUGACUUUGUUAGCAUCUGUGGCUUGAAAAUUAUAUUUAUUAAACUAACAGACCGUGCAGUGGAACUCCCAGAGUCCUUGGCAAACCUGGAGGAAGAACAAGUGAGGCAUUCUCGUAUCAAUUCUUUUUGCUUUUAAUUUUAAUUUAUUUUUGAGAGAGAGACAGUGCGAGCAGGGAAGGAACAGAGAGAGAGGGAGACACAGAAUCUUGGGCAGGCUCCAGGCUCUGAGCUAGCAGCACAGAGCCGGACGCGGGGCUUGAACUCAUGAACCAUGAGAUCAUGCCCUGAGCCGAAGUCGGACCCUUAACCGACUGAGCCACCCAGGCGCCCCUCUCCUAUCAAUUCUUAAUGAAAAUUUAGUAAAUACAAAAUGCACAAUUGUACUUUAAUUCAUACAAGAAAAUAUUUUUGCGUACCUAUUAUGUUCCUGACACUAUGCACGGCAGGAGGGAUACAGUUUAUGGUAAAGGUAAAUGAGUGUCGUUUACAAUUUAAGUACACAGUCACUACAACCCUGUCAGGUAUCACCUCCAUUUUAAAGAGGAGAAAACCGGUUCAGAGACUUUAAAUGACGUGGCUACGAUUUACACCGCCAGCAAGUGGCAGAGCGUGGGUGUGAAACCCAACCUUGGGAGUUCCUGAACACUAUAGCGGCUACGAGGGGGGCCACAGGCACAGUUGGGGUGGUCGGGAGUAACAAUAAAUUUCCCGGCUUUUCUACCACCUUUCCUGUUUCGUGGACACUUCCGUCGAGGGCAGCGCCCCUUCAGUACCUACUUGCUCUGGGAAUCCAAGAGUUCAUCUCCAAGGUCCCCGUGUGAUUCACCGAGGUUGACUGCCGAGGCGGCAGCGCUAGUAGUGCUAGGGUCCUGCGCCACGCGGAAAUGGCGUCCCCUUGCGGAAGGUUUUCGCAAUUUCUCUAUUUUGUGCUCCUUGGAUCUCGGCGCUGCCCAGCAACUCUGGGGGUCGCACCUCACCCCAGCCCCGGCCGGUCCAACUUGGAUCGGCUGAACCUUGCCGGUUGCCGAAUAAGCCCUAGCUGCCGGUUCCCUUUCGGCUCCCUUCCUCGCUCCUUGGGGGUCCAAAGAGAAACGCACUGUCUUCAUUUUCGAACUCUGGGGGCCCCGCUCUGGGGACCUCAUUUCGGCUCGCUUUGGGGACAGGAACUCUGCUCUUCCCAGGCCCUUCCCUACAACGGUGAGUGCCUCUCUUUCUGGCCACCUCCUGCCGUCCUCCGAGCCCAUCAUUUCCCUUCUCCUGUCCCAACUUGGCGCGCAGCCUGGCCGGGAGGGAAGGAAUCGCUUGCGCCCGCCCCACCCCAUCGCCUUCCCCUUUCGCACUGGUUGGGUUCUAGCCUGUAUCUCUGCCCCUCGCGUCACAGAAGCCUUUCUAAGCGCGCAGCGUCACUACGGUAGAGUGGGCGGAGCCAGGAGAAAGAUGGCGGAGCCCGUAGGUGAAGCUGAGUCGCAGGCUUCUGGCGGUCUUCGGCCCCCAGUGUGUCUGUUGGUGUUGGGAAUGGCGGGAUCUGGGAAAACCACCUUUGUACAGGUGACGUACAGGGCGCGGGCGUAAUAGGUGCGCGCGAGAGGNNNNNNNNNNNNNNNNNNNNNNNCCAUCAUUUCCCUUCUCCUGUCCCAACUUGGCGCGCAGCCUGGCCGGGAGGGAAGGAAUCGCUUGCGCCCGCCCCACCCCAUCGCCUUCCCCUUUCGCACUGGUUGGGUUCUAGCCUGUAUCUCUGCCCCUCGCGUCACAGAAGCCUUUCUAAGCGCGCAGCGUCACUACGGUAGAGUGGGCGGAGCCAGGAGAAAGAUGGCGGAGCCCGUAGGUGAAGCUGAGUCGCAGGCUUCUGGCGGUCUUCGGCCCCCAGUGUGUCUGUUGGUGUUGGGAAUGGCGGGAUCUGGGAAAACCACCUUUGUACAGGUGACGUACAGGGCGCGGGCGUAAUAGGUGCGCGCGAGAGGUUGACAGUGGCAGGCGAAAGGCCAGGGAGAACGGGAGGAAGGUCUCACGGAGUUGGAGGGGACCCGCGUGCGGCUUUCGAGAACUUGCCAGCAACUCCGGUUCCUUCUUAGGCUAGCCUUUUCGACUCUAGUCUGGUUUAAUUAGGGCUAGGGCUCUCAUCUGCACACCCUCAGUUCGUGCUUGGUACAACUUACCGCGUUCUGGAAUUGUCUUACCGACAAAGUUGUCAGCUCCUCGAAGACAGUCUUACGAGUAACUGGCAAUUAAUUAAUACAGUGCCAACACACGGACUUUUGGUGUAGAUUGUUAAAGAAUUAUUUCUUGCACAGCUGUCAUGUUUCAACCACCGCGGACGCAGCGAAAUUGAGUUUACUAGGUUCCCGCUUUUUGGAGCUAAUGUUUUAGUGGGAGUGCUAGAAAAAAAAAACACACAAAUCAAGUAGAUAAGUGAUCGAGAGUAGGGGGAGGCUGUUAGGUGGGUGAUAAAAGGUAGCGUUUCAUCUGAGUUGAAUGUUGGAGGUGGAUAUUGGGGGCGAAUAUUUCAAGUACUGAGAAGGGUAAGUGCAGAAGUCUUCAGGUAUGAUCAUCCACAAAGGAAUGGAAGUUCUCUCUUGGCCCCUAUCAUUCCCUCUUUGUCUCACUACAUCCCUCUCCCCAUCACCUCUGCAGAGGCUUACGGGACAUCUGCAUAGCCAAGGGUCUCCACCUUAUGUGAUUAAUCUGGACCCAGCUGUACAUGAAGUACCCUUUCCUGCCAAUAUUGGUGAGUAAACUGUACCAGAACUGGGUGAAGUCCCUCAGAAAAUGGAAAACUUCCAGCUUGCCAGACUUCAAUGCUUUCGUUUUUCAUUUUUCAAAACUGCCAAUUUUCAUUUUCUGUGAAUUUGCUAGAAUCUCUAAACAAGUCUUCUCCCUUAUGCACAUUCUUUUCUUUGUUCCCUAACUAAAUUUGCUUCCUUCACACUGUUAUCUCUCCCCUCUUUCUGACCCUAGGGUGUCAGGCUAUUGUUACUUGGGAUAGCGAAAUGACAGAAAGUCAGUCCUCUCACUUCCAGGUCACUUCAGCAGGCUCUGGUACAUAAACCUGUUUUAUUUAGUUUCUUUUAUCAAAAGUUGAGAGUUUAAGGGUUCUUGUGUGGUAGUUCAUGUACUGAUCUAUAGGAACCUUGCUUCCACUCCCAAUAUACGCAUUGCUUUGGAGAGGGGUUUCCAGUUAUCAUCAGGCUUUCAGAGGAAUCUGUGGCUAUGAAAAAAAUUAAGAGUGGAUAUGAUUCAGUGUCAUAAUUCUUGAUGGGACCUGCGGGUCUCCUGAUUUCUAGGCUGUCACUGUGCUAAUUUUCUCCCUCCGUGUCUCUUAAUCUUGUUAAGCUGCUCGUACCCUAGUUAAACUAAUAAAGGAAAACCUUGUAUUAAGCAGAGAUCAUUUUGGGAAGGGUUUGGGAAAAAAUUGACAUCUUCUCACUUAAAGGAUGGACUUCGGUUGAUAGAUGAAUGGUUCAACAAGAUACAAUGUAUGUGUGUAUAUAUAUACAUGCACCGUGGAAAAUGACUCAACCAUAAAAUAGAAUGAAAUCUUACCAUUCGUGACAACAUGGAUGGAUCUAGAGGGUGUUAUGUUAAGGGAGAUAAAUCAAGACAGAAAGACAAAUACAUUAUGAUUUCAUUUAUAUGUAGAAUCUAAAAAACAAAAGAAAGGAACAAACAAAACAAAGCAGCAACAGACUCCGAUACAGGAAACAAACUGUUGGUUACCAGAGACAGGAGGAUUUAGGAGGUGGGUGAAGUAGGUGAAGGGGAUUGAGAGGUACAAAUGUCCAGUUACAUAACAAAUUACAGGGCUAUAACGUACAGCCUAAUAUAAUAACUUUGGUGACAGAUGGUAACUGCACUAACUGUGGAGAUCAUUUUGAAAUAUGUAAAAAUAUCUAAUCAUUAUGAUAUAAACCUGAAACUAAGAUACUCUAUGUCAAUUAUACUUAAAUUUAGAAAAAGAUGGAAUUCUAAUAGUUGGUGGGGUCUACAGGCUGAUAGUUAGAUUUAGUUAGAUAUUACUGGAUGCAUUAAUUUUCCCUUUGAAAAAUCAUGUCUGCAUUACCCUGUUACUAGUAGGCAGUAAGAAAACUUUUUCUUGAUUUAGCUUUCUUGCUUUCUUGCUUUCUUGCUUUCUUUCUACUUUUAAUUCCAGUAUGGUUCAAAUAUAAUGUUACAUUAGUUUCAGGUGUACAAUAUAGUAACUCAACCAUUUCAUAUUUUUUUACCUCUCUUUUUCUAUGCAUAUGGUCACUGAUAAGGUAUUUAAGUUGUACAGAACUUUUCUCCUUAUUUCAGACCAUGUCUACCUUAACUUCCAAGCUCCUAGUCUUUGUCAUGGGUGCCUUGCCAGUUAUCCUUUGUAAGGAAGGAAAGCAGUGUGGAGCCGGAGGUUAGUAGAAGAGAACGCAGGCAAGAGAAGCCUGAAAAGCUGCUUUCAGCUUCUUGCUGGUAGAGAAGGUGCUUGCAGGGUGCCUUCUCCCUUUUUGUUCUCUUCACGAUCUUGCUUUUUUCCCUAUCACAGUUCAUUGACCUUAGCUUGAAAAUUUAGAAAACAGAUUUGAAAACUAACUGAGAUACCAAGAGAGAAACUUAUUUCUUCUCCUCAGAGGAAGCAGAGGUGACCUGAGAGGCCUAUUGGCUGAGGCUAUGAUAGGUGGAGGGUCUCAAACUUAUUGUUUCUUAUGUGUUAAAUUCCAGUGAAUUCUUUCCCCCCCUUCUCCGCCCCCCCCUCCCCAGAUAUUCGUGACACCGUCAAGUAUAAAGAAGUCAUGAAACAGUAUCCUUUUCUGUAUCUGCCUCCUGUGCUGACUCAUCACUGGAUAGUUAUUGUCCAUAUUUUGUGGCUUUGAGAGAGUGUUUUUGUAUCUUUGUAAAACAAUACUAGCAAAAGCAUUUAAUUGCUUUAAAGUAAUUUUUUAAAGGAUGUUUUUAAAGUUUAUUUAUUUUGAGAGAGAGUGCCCAUACGCACAUGCAAGCAGGGGAAGGGUGAGAGAGAGGGAGAAACAGAGAAUUCCUAGCAAGCUCGGAGCUCAAUGUAGGGCUUGAACCCAUGAAUUGUGAGAUAAUGACCUGAGUUGAAAUCAAGAGUCAGACACUUAACUGAGCCACCCAGACUCCCGUUUCAAAGUAAUUGAACUAAGAGGAUGGAAAGAUGAAUGUGAGGAAAGGUAUUGUAGGUGAUUAGAAAUACUAUUUCAGCUUGUGAUUUCAGUUUUCUUACCAUUUUCCUAGAAUUAUAGGCUGUGGUAAGGAGAGAGCACAGAGUGAGAGAGGCUAGCUGGUGCUGUGCCUGGGUUCCACAAAGUAGUAUUUCCUUGGAGGCCACUACCUCCUCUGACUGGGAAACUCAGAAAUGAGUAGGUUUAGUAGUAGGAUCAACUCAUAGUACAUUGCUGUGUGAAAUGUGUACUUUGAGUGUAGGUACGUCUAAGUGGGUUAACUAAUUAUAAUCAGGUUGCUUGAUCAGUAAAGAUCAGAGCAAGCAGUGUGAUACAGAUGGUCUUAAUGGCUAAUGCCAUUAGGCUGUCACUGCCUGAUGCAUCUAUUACAUUUUGGUCUCUUUAUUUAUGUAUUUAUGUAUUUAUGUAUUUAUUUAAAAUGUUUAUUUAUUUUUGAGAGAAAGAGAGCGUGCAGGGAAGGGGCCGAGAGAGAAGAAGACAGAGGGUGUGAAGCAGGCUCUGUGCUGACUGCAGAGAGCCCGAUGUGGAGCUUGAACCCAUGAACCAUGAGAUCAUGACCCGAGCCGAAGUUGGAUGCUUAACUGACUGAGCCACCCAGGCACCUUUAUUUAUUUAUUUUUAAUGUUUGUUUAUUUUUGAGGGAGAGAGAAUACAAGCAGGGGAGGGGCAGAGAGGGAGACAGAGGAUUUGAAGCAGGUUCUGCACUGACAGCAGAGAGCCCGAUGCAGGGCUUGGACUCAAGAACUGUGAGAUUAUGACCUGAGCCGAAGUUGGACGCUUAACUGACUGAGCCAUCCAGGUGCCCCACAUUUUGGUCACUUUAAUUACUUCAUUUUGCCUAGCCAUCCCUAAAAUGACAAAUGGAUGAGGAAGAUGUUGAUAAUGAAUAUUUCCUUGUGACGUUAGGGUUGUGUGGUAUGUACUAGUCAAGGAUUAGCUGCCAGUGUCCAUUCAUGGAACACUUAGUUACAAUGCUGUUUGUGUGAAUGAUACCCUAAGUAUGAACUUCAUCAUCUAAAUUGAUCUGUAAGUAAUUUAAAUCCUCAACUUAGUGUCCAGGUAUGGACUUGGGCCCAAUGGUGGUAUAGUGACUUCACUCAAUCUCUUUGCUACCAGAUUUGAUCAGGUAUGUCUGUUUCUACUUUUAUGACAUGGCUGUGUAAAAACCUGUGACUUCUAAAUGCUGUAGCUUGCUCACACUGGGAAAGAAGAGCAAGAAGCCUGCGUAUGCAUAUAGAAAAUAAGUAAGUGUUUUGGUAGGCAGAGAAGUGGGUAAUGACAAUGAUCAGUGAUGUGAGAUGCUUCAUAGCCAGUAAAACAAAAAUCCAAGAGACGUAGGUUCUUUUCUUGAUCAUGUCUUGGACGUUACCUUGAGGUUGGAGUGGAGGGUUGGGGAGUGGGAUGGGCUAGUGGGUGUGGAAUGGAAAGAUAAUGGGGCUUUUUACAUGUGACAUAAUUGUCAUUGGUUAGCUUUUUCUCUAUUUCUAUAAAAGUGUUUUGUAGUUACUAAUUAAAAAAAAAUUUUUUUUAACGUUUAUUUGUUAUUGAGCAACAGAGCAUGAGCAUGGGAGGGGCAGAGAGAGGAGGAGACACAGAAUCCGACGCAGGCUCCAGGCUCUGAGCUGUCAGCACAGAACCUGACGCAGGGCUUGAACUCACGAACCACAAGAUCAUGACAUGAACCAAAGUCGGACGCUUAACUGACUGAGCUACCCAGGUGCCUCAUGUAGUUACUAAUUUUUUACCCUGAUGUCACUCCAUGAGACAGGCUAUUAAUAUUUUACCAAAGCACCAAGAGAUAUGACCUGACAGUGACAGAUCAUCUUCAGCUUCUCAGGACCUUGCUUGCUGCUGAUGUGGCUGUGUUUCUUCAGUUCAUUGAGUUCAUUAGUUGGUGUCCUAAUCGAGAACACAGAGAUUGAAUAGUUGAUAGUGCCUAAAAGGCAGGCCUCCCUGCAGAGGGAUUUGUGAUUAUCUGUUGUAAUUGGCAUCUUUCUCUUUUAGGUCAUGAAAUUUAUUGAGAAGGCCCAGAACAUGUCUAAGUAAGUGAUUUCAGUUUAACACCUAUUUAUUACUCUGUAAUUGACACAUCUCUAGAAUUUCAGGGUACCAUCAGGCUCUGAAAGAGUGUAGGUUGGGAUAAAACCAUUAGAAGUGAAAGAAAAAAGUGGGCUAAAAAUCAUUAAGAUGCUAUAUAGUGUAGAGCUAAAUUUAAUAGUAUCCUGCCACCGAUCACUGUCAUAUAAGCCCACCACUUCCUAGGAGGCAUUGAGACUUUGUCCAAAUUCAGUCGUCUGCCUGCUUCUCUUGGGAGACCACACUUGCUGGCAUGAAAGUCUCUAAAACCUUUUUAACCCUCGUUUUAAAUGAAUAUAAUUUAUGUGAUUCAGAGAGAAUAAUUAUUUCUUUAAAUUUAAAUAGUAUCAAAAUGUAAAAUAAAAUAACACUGUUAUUAUCUACAUUUAACUGUCAUUAGAUCAUGAUAGUUUCACUUUUUAAAAAAAAAGAUGAUUCAUUAUUUUUGUUAAAAAAAAGACUAUCUGCUCACUGUGGAGAAUUCAAACCACACGUAAUAUUUAAAAGAUGAAACUAUCAGGGCGCCUGGGUGGCUCAGUCGGUUGGGCGUCCGACUUUGGCUCAGGUCAGGAUCUCGCGGUCCGUGAGUUCGAGCCCCGCGUCAGGCUCUGUGCUGACAGCUCAGAGCCUGGAGCCUGUUCUGGACUCUGUGUCUCCCUCUCUCUCUGCCUCUCCCCUGCUCAUGCUCUGUCUCUCUCUGUCUCAAAAAUGAAUAAACGUUAAAAAAAAAUUUAAAAGAUGAAACUAUCACCCUGAUUCCCACUAGAAGUAACUAUCAUUAUUAUUAACUGUUACAUAUUAUUUUUUAGUAUUUAUAGUGUAUGAUACAUAUAAAACAUUAUUACAUAAUAUUAUAUAUGUUGUCAUUGCUAUCAGUGACUAUCAUUCCACAUGUUUCCAUGCGUAUAUACAUAGAAGGAUGGAUGGAUAAGGUGUUUUUACAGAAAUGGGAUCGUACUAGAGGUAAAAAAUAAUGGCUUUAUUGAGAUACAAAUACACAAAGUGCACUCUAAUUUUAAAGUAUACAAUGUGGUGGUUUUCAGUGUAUUCGUAAUGUUAUGCAUUGAUCACCACUAUCUAAUUCCAGACCUUUUUCUUCAUCCUCAAAAGAAAUUCCAUACUCAUUAGCAGUUCCUGUUGUUCCCCCUUCCCACCCCCAGCUCCUGGUGGCUGCACCAUUUUCCGUUCUCACCAGCACUGUGUGAUGGUUCCUUGUCCACGUCCUUGCCAAUUCUUGUUGCUGUCCUUGUUUUUGUUAUAGCCAUGUCAGUGGGCGUGAAGUGGCAUGUGAUUGUGGUAUCACAUUUGGUUUGUAUUUCCUCAAUGAUUAGUGAUGUUGAACAUCAUUUUAUAUACAUUUUAGCCAUUGGUGUAUAUUUGGAGAAAUGUCUAUUGAAAAUUCUUUGCUCAUUUUUAAAAAUAGGUUUAUUUAGAUAUGUAAUUCAUAUACCAUGUAAAGUGUUCAUUUCAGUGGCCUUUACAGAAUUAUGCAACCAUAACUACAGUCAAUUUUAGAAUAUUUCUAUCACCUCAAGAAGAAACACUGUAUUCUUUAGCUGUCACUUCCUUAUCCCUCUAUUUCUCCUUCCCCUCCACCUUUACCCCACGGCUACCCCAAGAAACUAGAUGGUUUCCCAGGAUAUUUCCCUUCCGGUUUUGCUUAUCUCUCAUUUUUUUAAAAGGUUUAUUUAUUUAGUUUGAGAGAGAGCAUACGCAUGAGAGAGAGAGCGGUGGAGUAGCAGAGGGAGAGGGAGAAUCCCAAGCAGGCUCCGAGCUGUCGGUGUGGAGCCUGACACGGGGCUCAAAAUCAUGAUCCUGUGAAAUCAUGACCUGAGCCGAAAUCAGGAGUCAGAUGCUUAUCCAACUGAGCCACCCAGACGCCCCUGCUUCUCUCUUCUUUUAAUGCAGUGUGUUUCUAAAACUAUCACAGUUUCCUCUGUGAUCAUUUGCCGCAAUUUGAGGACCGCUGCUCCUGCUGCCUGGUAGCGUGAAUACUGGACAUUGAGCAAAGCCUGGGGGAAUGUAGUAUGCAUUUUAAGGGCAAUGGGAGGAAGUUACACUUGAUAGUGUGAAGAGGUUAUUCCAAUCUUGGAUGAUCAGAUGUUCAGUGUCUUGUGUGAUGGAAUCUCUUUCAGCAUUGCACAAGUGUAAUACUUCUUUAAUGGUCUUUUUUUUUUUUUUUAACUUAUUUAUUUACUUCAAAUGUUUGUUUAUUAAGAGAGAGAGCGAGCGAGCAGGGGUAGGUGUAGAGAGAGUGGGAGAGACUCCCAAGCGGACCCUGCACUGUCAGAGCAGGCCCUGACACAGGGCUUGAUCUCAUCAAUGGUGAGAUUAUGACCUGAGCCAAAAUCCAGAGUUGGAUGCCUAACUGACUGAGCCACCCAGGUGCCCCCCUUUAAUGGUCUUUCUUGGCACAGAUAUGUCUUGAUUGACACACCUGGACAAAUUGAGGUGUUCACGUGGUCAGCUUCUGGGACAAUCAUCACUGAGGCCCUGGUGAGUAUUCUAGGACUUGUUACUUAGAGUAACUAGAGAACUAGACUGGUUAAGCAUCUCUUUAUUGCCUGGGACCUUAAUGUGGGAGGGAGUUAUGGAAGCUCUGUACACCCUGCUUCAAAUGACUUUCCCUUGCUAAGGAAGGUUGGGGGGAGUUUGGGAAUAGGUUAUGAGCCCUUUGACUAAGGCUGUGGUUAUUUUGUGGCUUUAGGCAUCUUCAUUUCCAACAGUUGUCAUUUAUGUCAU